CCGGCACUCGAAAUAGUCUGAGACUUCUCAGGCUACUAGGCUUCCCAGCCUACGGGAACACGGGAAGAAGAUUGGAUUUCAAAACAACUGUAAUCCUGCAAUCUGCCCUAAAUAUGAAGAUCGAAGAGGAGAGUGACGGAAAUGGAAGGACCCACAGAAUUUGGAACUGGGUGUUACAACUACUACUAGAGAGACGCGCCGUCGAGAACAUGUCCGACCUAAUGAGGCUUCCUCCACUUUGACGUCAGGCCCAACUCGGUUCGUUCUACUAGGAUCGUAAUUUCAACGCUUAACCCGACCAGCCACCUUCCACUUAAUUAUACUUCAAGCCACUUCUACCGAAUAGCUAAUACCGGAAGAAUUUUUUUUAUACCUCGGAGUAAAAUGGCACCUUGAUAAUUCUUGAAGGAUUACCGUACACCUUGCUGCAGGACAAGAUUCGUAGAAAAUUGAAAUUGUGAGGAUUCCGUUAAAAAGAAAUUCUGACCCCAGCGUGUUAAAAAAAAAAAAGUGAUUUUUGGAAAUCACCUUUUUACGAAGAGAAUUUAUAUCGGCUAAAUUAAUUUCGCUAAUAAUAAAAAUCAUAUUGCGACGUCUCAAUUAAGGCGAGGUGGUCCAGGAAGUCGAACAGAAGUUAAUGGCUGCUGAUCGGGCGAACGGAAAUCACCUACAGGAAGUCAAGUCCGGAAGUCGACGGACGCGCGCUAUCCGAGGGCGUCAAGAUUAAUACUUGGCAAAUCCGGGGCGGACCCUCGUCCACGCAGCGUGACCGAUGCGUGUUGCAGAAGGCGUCGACAAGGAGGUCGGUGAUGGGAGUCGAUCACGGGCCCAACAAUACUGACCGAUGCCGACCAAUCGCCUGAUGCGGUCCCGAUGACUCUUCGGCGGGAACUGUGUCGCUGGAGGCUCCGCGACAAUGUCCUGCUUCUGUUUUGCAUGUCUCUAUAGUUAGCCAGCUACACUCCCCACCUACCCGGAGCGGGAAGACAUAACCUCCGAGGGCUAGAAGUACGACCGACGAAAGUGAACGCGCGUUCACCCAGACCCUCGUCUUCUUGGUCGCGGUCGCCAUCUUGGUGGUUUCGAGCAUCUUCGCGUUCCACUCAAUUCGCUUCGUAUUUUAUUCCAUCUUGCCGCCUUCUGCGAUUCUACCAUCUUCGUCAAUUUUUUCUUCCUCUCCAAUGUUGUCCCUUGAAUCGGUGUUUUUUUUUUUUUUAUUUUGGUUGGUCUUUCCCUCCGGCACAUAUGGGCCACCCCGAUGAAACCCGAGAGGCGACGCCUAAGGAACGCAUGGAGAGACGUCGUCACCACCGUUUCAACUCGUCGUCUUGGAGGGUCCGUAUGUCAGAUGUAGGUAUGUCAGAGAAGUGACGAACGUUUUGUCUUGGACGACGAUCAACGGCCGAAGAAAUGGCCCGUGCUCAGAGGAGGAAACUCGAAAGACGAAAGUCUGCGACAACAGGCGUCGUUAAGGCGCCCGUAAACGUCAUUGAAAAUGGCAAAAAUUUCAUCUGGGAGAGAAGAAAAAUUUUUUCCUCAUCUCUCUCGAAAGCAGGGAGAUACCGAAUAGAACUUAUUGCGCAACCCAAAAUCUUCGUCGUUCAAACGAAUUACCUAUCUCGAUAAUAGACGUUGUUAUAAUUUCGUGCAUUAAGAGAAUUUACGUGCUCGACAUAACUCUCAUUUGACGGUAAUAUAUCGGAACACUGUCAUCCAUUAACACAGUCGGGUUAUUCCGGCCGAGAGAACGCUGAAUAACUACCCACUAUUCUGAACGGGAUCAAAAUCUGAGAUUAUUACUUUAUGAUUACACUUUUUAAAAAAAAUUAAUUUCCGUACGGUGAAAUUCCUUCGGGAUUGCUACAUUUCAGCUUAUUUACCGGAGAAUUGUUUUAACGGGCCGAUUUAACAGAAUUCUAUUGUAAUUUAGUUUAAUGAUAAUUUAGAGUAUCAUAAUUCACUGUAAAAAAGUAUGGUUCCAAGAAAAUUUGUCCUGUGAGA